CAUUGAGCCUUGAUGUGUAGGAUAGGUGGGAGGCUUUGAAGCGUGGACGCCAGUCUGCGUGGAGCCGACCUUGAAAUACCACCCUUUAAUGUUUGAUGUUCUAACGUGGAUCCGUAAUCCGGGUUGCGGACAGUGUCUGGUGGGUAGUUUGACUGGGGCGGUCUCCUCCUAAAGAGUAACGGAGGAGCACGAAGGUUGGCUAAUCCUGGUCGGACAUCAGGAGGUUAGUGCAAUGGCAUAAGCCAGCUUGACUGCGAGCGUGACGGCGCGAGCAGGUGCGAAAGCAGGUCAUAGUGAUCCGGUGGUUCUGAAUGGAAGGGCCAUCGCUCAACGGAUAAAAGGUACUCCGGGGAUAACAGGCUGAUACCGCCCAAGAGUUCAUAUCGACGGCGGUGUUUGGCACCUCGAUGUCGGCUCAUCACAUCCUGGGGCUGAAGUAGGUCCCAAGGGUAUGGCUGUUCGCCAUUUAAAGUGGUACGCGAGCUGGGUUUAGAACGUCGUGAGACAGUUCGGUCCCUAUCUGCCGUGGGCGCUGGAGAACUGAGGGGGGCUGCUCCUAGUACGAGAGGACCGGAGUGGACGCAUCACUGGUGUUCGGGUUGUCAUGCCAAUGGCACUGCCCGGUAGCUAAAUGCGGAAGAGAUAAGUGCUGAAAGCAUCUAAGCACGAAACUUGCCCCGAGAUGAGUUCUCCCUGAGACUUUAAGUCUCCUGAAGGAACGUUGAAGACGACGACGUUGAUAGGCCGGGUGUGUAAGCGC
rnacentral:rRNA from 1 species